CAAGAGGGUGUUAGAGCACCAUUAUCGCGGGCUCUUAAAGCCCGUAUUCAAUGUAUUCAGAUUUAAAAAAAAAGAAAAAUUGGCUAAUUAAAGAGGAGACGUCGCUUAAUUAAGCCACACAAGAGACGGGUUUUGUGAACACGUGUCAUUAUCUCAUCCCUCUCUCUCUCUACCAAAGCAUUCUCUCUCUUUCUUUCGUGUCUCCUCGGCGACUCCGACUCCAUCUGCUGAUCUCUCCUCCACGAUGACCUAUCAGCGACGACUCCGACUCCAUCAACCGGCGACUCUGACGAUGACCUCUCCGCGAUGACUCCGGCGCCAUCAGCCGACUCAGAGACUCACUUCUCGUCAACCUCACGUUUUCCUCCGCCGCCGCGUCUUCUUCGCACACAGACUAGAGAAGAAGGAAACAAAGGUGGAGAAGAAGAAAAAGUACACAGUUUGAGAUGGAGUUUCGAAAGAGAGAUCCGGAUCAGAUAUGAGUUUGGGAGAUCACAUAUGGAGUUUCUAUUAAUAGAGGACGUGGCAGGGAAGCCAUAGAAACUGACGUCUCUGUCAUUGGAGUAAUGACUUCGUUGUGGUGUGCCUUGCUUCCUACGCAAGCAUCAGAAGUAGCAGCUCAAAUCUGGGAGGUUCAACUGUUCUGUUGCAGCAAAUUCAAGAGAGCGUGGGAGGUUCAUUUGUAUGCUGAUCUGACUGAAACUUUGUACAGAUGUAGGGGACACUGCAGACUCAGAGUUCAACGGUGUGAUCGAAAAGUGGACGGUCAGUUUAUUAGUUAUUCAUGUAUUUCUGAACCGGUUUGGUACAUUGUGAAACAGAGUGGUAUGUUGAUGGAUCGUCUUGUUUGGUUGGGAAAAUGAGCUCGGACUGAGCUCAUAUUUGGCAGGAACCUUAUGGACUCGUGGAUAUAUGUUCAACUAUAAGGAGAGAGGGUCUGGAGUUCGGGAACAUGGAAAACGAGCGGUACAACGGAUCUGUCCAAAGUUGAGAAAAUGAAAACUUGUUGUCAAGUGGCUAAGACCUUUGGUGUCUCUUUCUGGAAAAUUGAAAGCUGGAAAAUAUCAGAACAUUCUCUCUUUAUUACCACCGAUUGUUCUGGUCUUAAACUCAUGGAUCUGUAAAACUCAACUCCGACCGUUCAGAUUAGACUCCUCCGUUUAUUCCGAUGGUCGAUCUAAGGAUCGAAGAGCAAGUCAAAGAUCUGAUAAAAGCAUGAAACAAAGUGAAACAGAAGCUUCAAAACUCGGUAGAUUCACCGAGGAUGAGAAGAAAGAUGAGUCUGAGAUGGUUGUCGAUUGUAUCAUAAGAAGUGUUGGAAGACAACCAAACGAUUUCUUAUGAAUGUGAGAUUGGAAUGAUCUUGAAGAGUCUGAAGACGAUGUGAAUCGAUCAAAGACUACGAACUUUAUCCUUCUAUGAAGGAAAACAUGACUUCAAUAUAAAAGAUAAGUUAUUUUCAGAAAGUUUGUCUUUUUUACAUUAGAUAUAAUGUAUCUGCCAUUAGAACCUUGACAUGAACAAUCUUGUUAGUGUGCCUUGGCUUCAAGUCGCUGAUGGCGGUGAUUUCUUCAA